rnacentral:rRNA from 1 species
UACGUAGGGUGCGAGCGUUAAUCGGAAUUACUGGGCGUAAAGCGUGCGCAGGCGGUUUUGUAAGCCAGAUGUGAAAUCCCCGGGCUUAACCUGGGAAUGGCAUUUGGGACUGCAAGGCUGGAGUACGGCAGAGGAGACUGGAAUUCCUGGUGUAGCAGUGAAAUGCGUAGAUAUCAGGAGGAAUACCGAUGGCGAAGGCAGGUCUCUGGGCUGACACUGACGCUCAUGCACGAAAGCGUGGGGACAAACAGG